UACGAAGGGGGCUAGCGUUGCUCGGAAUCACUGGGCGUAAAGGGCGCGUAGGCGGCCAUUCAAGUCGGGGGUGAAAGCCUGUGGCUCAACCACAGAAUUGCCUUCGAUACUGUUUGGCUUGAGACCGGAAGAGGUUAGUGGAACUGCGAGUGUAGAGGUGAAAUUCGUAGAUAUUCGCAAGAACACCAGUGGCGAAGGCGGCUCACUGGCCCGAUACUGACGCUGAGGCACGAAAGCGUGGGGAGCAAACAGG
rnacentral:rRNA from 1 species